rnacentral:rRNA from 1 species
UUCCAUGCUUCCAAGAAAAGCAUCUAGAGAGAGAAGUAGUGCCCGUACCGCAAACCGACACAGGUAGAUGAGGAGAGAAUCCUAAGGCCGGCGGAAGAAUUGCAGUUAAGGAACUAGGCAAAUUGACCCCGUAAGUUCGCGAGAAGGGGUGCCUGCGAGAGCAGGCCGCAGAGAAUAGGCCCAAGCAACUGUUUAGCAAAAACACAGGUCUCUGCUAAAGCGUAAGCUGAUGUAUAGGGGCUGACGCCUGCCCGGUGCUGGAAGGUUAAGGGGAACACUUAGCGCAAGCGAAGGUGUGAACUUAAGCCCCAGUAAACGGCGGCCGUAACAAUAACGGUCCUAAGGUAGCGAAAUUCCUUGUCAGGUAAGUUCUGACCCGCACGAAUGGCGUAAUGACUUGGGCACUGUCUCAACUGCAAAUCCGGCGAAGUUGUAGUGCGAGUGAAGAUGCUCGCUACCCGCGAUUGGACGGAAAGACCCCGUAGAGCUUUACUGUAGCUUAGCAUUGAAUUCCGGUAUUGUCUGUACAGGAUAGGUGGGAGACUGGGAAACUAGGGCGUCAGCCUUAGUGGAGUCAACCUUGGGAUACCACCCUGACAGUACUGGGGUUCUAACAGGACGCCAUGAAUCUGGUGACUGGACAUUGUUAGGUGGGCAGUUUGACUGGGGCGGUCGCCUCCUAAAAAGUAACGGAGGCGCCCAAAGGUUCCCUCAGAACGGUCGGAAAUCGUUCGUAGAGUGCAAAGGCAGAAGGGAGCCUGACUGCGAGACAUACAAGUCGAGCAGGGACGAAAGUCGGGCUUAGUGAUCCGGUAGUACCUCGUGGGAGGGCCAUCGCUCAACGGAUAAAAGCUACCUCGGGGAUAACAGGCUGAUCUCCCCCAAGAGUCCACAUCGACGGGGAGGUUAGGCACCUGAUGUCGGCUCGUCGCAUCCUGGGGCUGUAGUAGGUCCCAAGGGUUGGGCUGUUCGCCCAUUAAAGCGGCACGCGAGCUGGGUUCAGAACGUCGUGAGACAAUUCGGUCCCUAUCCGUCGCGGGCGUAGGAAAUUUGAGAGGAGCUGUCCUUAGUACGAGAGGACCGGGAUGGACUGACCUCUGGUGCACCAGUUGUUCCGCCAGGAGCAUGGCUGGGUAGCUAAGUCGGGAAGGGAUAAACGCUGAAAGCAUCUAAGCGUGAAGCCUCCCUCAAGAUGAGAUUUCCCAUAGCAUAAGCUAGUAAGACCCCUUGAAGAACACAAGGUUGAUAGGUCAGAGGUGUAAGUGCGGUAACGUAUUUAGCUGACUGAUACUAAUAGGUCGAGGGCUUGACCG